UGGGGAAUCUUAGACAAUGGGGGAAACCCUGAUCUAGCCAUGCCGCGUGGACGAUGAAGGCCUUAGGGUUGUAAAGUCCUUUCAGCUGGGAAGAUAAUGACGGUACCAGCAGAAGAAGCCCCGGCUAACUCCGUGCCAGCAGCCGCGGUAAUACGGAGGGGGCUAGCGUUGUUCGGAAUUACUGGGCGUAAAGCGCACGUAGGCGGACUGGAAAGUUGGAGGUGAAAUCCCAGGGCUCAACCUUGGAACUGCCUUCAAAACUAUCAGUCUAGAGUUCGAGAGAGGUGAGUGGAAUUCCGAGUGUAGAGGUGAAAUUCGUAGAUAUUCGGAGGAACACCAGUGGCGAAGGCGGCUCACUGGCUCGAUACUGACGCUGAGGUGCGAAAGCGUGGGGAGCAAACA
rnacentral:rRNA from 1 species